rnacentral:rRNA from 1 species
GGACCCGCACAAGCGGUGGAGCAUGUGGUUUAAUUCGAAGCAACGCGAAGAACCUUACCAAGUCUUGACAUCGGAAUGACCGGUCCGUAACGGGGCCUUCCCUUCGGGGCAUUCCAGACAGGUGGUGCAUGGUUGUCGUCAGCUCGUGUCGUGAGAUGUUGGGUUAAGUCCCGCAACGAGCGCAACCCUUAUCCUUAGUAGCCAGCAGUUCGGCUGGGCACUCUGGGGAGACUGCCAGGGAUAACCUGGAGGAAGGUGGGGAUGACGUCAAAUCAUCAUGCCCCUUAUGAUUUGGGCUACACACGUGCUACAAUGGCGUAAACAAAGGGAAGCGAAGGAGUGAUCCGGAGCAAAUCUCAAAAAUAACGUCUCAGUUCGGAUUGUAGUCUGCAACUCGACUACAUGAAGCUGGAAUCGCUAGUAAUCGCGGAUCAGAAUGCCGCGGUGAAUACGUUCCCGGGUCUU